rnacentral:rRNA from 1 species
GACGGAGGAGGCUAGCGUUGUUCGGAAUUACUGGGCGUAAAGCGUGCGCAGGUUGUGAGAUCAGUUGGAUGUGAAAGCCCGGGGCUUAACCUCGGAUGUGCAUCCAAUACUGUCUCGCUGGAGGUUGGAAGAGGAGAGUGGAAUUCCCAGUGUAGAGGUGAAAUUCGUAGAUAUUGGGAAGAACACCAGUGGCGAAGGCGGCUCUCUGGUCCAUACCUGACACUCAUGCACGAAAGCGUGGGGAGCAAACAGG